UACGAAGGGGGCGAGCGUUGUUCGGAUUUACUGGGCGUAAAGGGCGCGCAGGCGGCGCAUUUUGUCAGGCGUGAAAGCCCCGGGCUUAACCUGGGAACUGCGUCCGAUACUGGAUGGCUUGAAUCCGGGAGAGGGAUGCAGAAUUCCAGGUGUAGCGGUGAAAUGCGUAGAUAUCUGGAGGAAUACCGGUGGCGAAGGCGGCAUCCUGGACCCGAUCUGACACUGAGGUGCGAAAGCUAGGGUAGCAAACGGG
rnacentral:rRNA from 1 species